AUGGACAUUCUCGAGAGAGUCGACUUCCGGCGGAAGGGUGACCUCUAAACUGUUCUAUACACCCAGGAUGGCUUGAGGCGUUAGUCGACUCAGGAGCUGCUGCCAACUUCAUUGAUCCCGAUCUCCUAGAAAGACUCAAGAUUCCUCAGGAUCACUGCUAUUGAGGACAAACCUAUUGGAAAUGGCCUAGUUCAAGCCAUCAUUGCUGCCAUUCAACUGCAAGUGGGACUACUGCACAAAGAACAGGUUUGAUUGGUUCUUCCAUCCAGUCUUCAUUGAGAUGGAUUAUUCUACUGUUCCUUCAGGUUUCCGGACCUGCUAAGCAGAUCCAGGGAAUUUGGUAUGGAAAUUCAUCAAAUUUACUAAUGGAGGAGAUGUGCUCUUCAAAGUAUGUGCUUUUUUUUUGCUGUCAGUGGAUUUUCCUUGCAGUUAUCUGCUCAACACAAUUUGUGCCAUUUGUACGUGCCAUACAUCGUUUUACAUUACUGCCUUGACACUU